rnacentral:ncRNA from 1 species
GGCCUGACCAAAAUUCAAGCUGCUAUACCUCUGGCUGCAUUGACUUGUGGUCAGAGUGUAUGGUGAUCAUAGCAAUUGCAAGUAUUGGGCUCGAUAAAUCCUUUGAAGACGACUUAAUUGCAUCCGGGUAUUGUAAGUGUUGAGAGUAGGCUUAGUCUUACGAUCCACUGAGAUUCAUCCCGUGUUGCGCCGAUUUGU